rnacentral:rRNA from 1 species
UACGGAGGGUGCAAGCGUUAUCCGGAUUCACUGGGUUUAAAGGGUGCGUAGGCGGGUUGGUAAGUCCGUGGUGAAAUCCCCAAGCUUAACUUGGGAACUGCCGUGGAUACUAUCAAUCUUGAAUAUCGUGGAGGUAAGCGGAAUAUGUCAUGUAGCGGUGAAAUGCUUAGAUAUGACAUAGAACACCAAUUGCGUAGGCAGCUUACUACACGAUCAUUGACGCUGAGGCACGAAAGCGUGGGGAUCAAACAGGA